GAUGAACGCUGGCGGCGUGCCUAAUACAUGCAAGUCGAGCGAACAGAUGAGGAGCUUGCUCCUCUGACGUUAGCGGCGGACGGGUGAGUAACACGUGGAUAACCUACCUAUAAGACUGGGAUAACUUCGGGAAACCGGAGCUAAUACCGGAUAAUAUAUUGAACCGCAUGGUUCAAUAGUGAAAGACGGUUCUGCUGUCACUUAUAGAUGGAUCCGCGCCGCAUUAGCUAGUUGGUAAGGUAACGGCUUACCAAGGCAACGAUGCGUAGCCGACCUGAGAGGGUGAUCGGCCACACUGGAACUGAGACACGGUCCAGACUCCUACGGGAGGCAGCAGUAGGGAAUCUUCCGCAAUGGGCGAAAGCCUGACGGAGCAACGCCGCGUGAGUGAUGAAGGUCUUCGGAUCGUAAAACUCUGUUAUUAGGGAAGAACAAAUGUGUAAGUAACUAUGCACGUCUUGACGGUACCUAAUCAGAAAGCCAUGGCUAACUACGUG
rnacentral:rRNA from 1 species